rnacentral:rRNA from 1 species
GACGAACGCUGGCGGCGUGCCUAAUACAUGCAAGUUGAGCGCUGAAGGUUGGUACUUGUACCAACUGGAUGAGCAGCGAACGGGUGAGUAACGCGUGGGGAAUCUGCCUUUGAGCGGGGGACAACAUUUGGAAACGAAUGCUAAUACCGCAUAAAAACUUUAAACACAAGUUUUAAGUUUGAAAGAUGCAAUUGCAUCACUCAAAGAUGAUCCCGCGUUGUAUUAGCUAGUUGGUGAGGUAAAGGCUCACCAAGGCGAUGAUACAUAGCCGACCUGAGAGGGUGAUCGGCCCCCAUGGGAAUGAGACACGGCCCAAACUCCCACGGGAGGCAGCAGUAGGGAAUCUUCGGGAAUGGACGAAAGUCUGACCGAGCAACGCCGGGUGAGUGAAGAAGGUUUUCGGAUCGUAAAACUCUGUUGGUAGAGAAGAACGUUGGUGAGAGUGGAAAGCUCAUCAAGUGACGGUAACUACCCAGAAAGGGACGGCUAACUACGUG